rfam:Danio rerio chromosome 2, GRCz11 reference primary assembly.
AUCCACAGCCAUAUCACCAUGCAGGCCAAGACCAGUUACUCACUGAGACUAACCAGGGCUGAGCCUGGUAAGAACCUGGAUGGGAGACCACAUUGGAAAACUAGGUUGCUUUUGGAA